rnacentral:rRNA from 56 species
AAACUUUCAACAACGGAUCUCUUGGCUCUGGCAUCGAUGAAGAACGCAGCGAAAUGCGAUACGUAAUGUGAAUUGCAGAAUUCAGCGAACCAUCGAAUCUUUGAACGCACAUUGCGCCCGCCAGUAUUCUGGCGGGCAUGCCUGUCCGAGCGUCAUUU